rnacentral:sRNA from 1 species
CUGCUGCGGAGCGAUCAUGUGGACGUGGCCGUCGAUACCGGCCGCCGUGAGGAUGAGGUGUUCGCCCGAGAUGGCGUCGGUCGCGGCGCUGGUCACCAGAUCGGGAUGCACGCCGUGCAUGAUGUUGGGAUUGCCCGCCUUGCCGAUGCCGGCGAUCAUGCCGUCCUUGAUCCCCACGUCGGCCUUCACCACGCCCAGCACGGCGUCGAUGAUCGUCACGUUGGUAAUCACCAGAUCGAGCGCUCCCUCCUCCGAGGUCAUCGUAUUGGCCAGACCCAUGCCGUCGCG